rnacentral:sRNA from 14 species
GAAUGUGAGGGUGACGUGUUACACAGUUGAUUUCCAGCAUUAAGAUGGCUGGUCUCAUCUGGCUAAAUGGCUGUCCUUUUCCUCCCUCAUCCCACCACGUGUGUCUCUUUCAAAGCUCUGUGCUCUAUCCAUAAGGAUGACUUUUCUCUGGUAGAGGACAGUCUUUCAGUCAAGUGGCCACACUCCCCUACUCUAGAGCUGUCCUUUUGUAAGAAGCUGCUGUGAAUCU